AGAGUUUGAUCAUGGCUCAGGAUGAACGCUAGCGGGAGGCUUAACACAUGCAAGUCGAGGGGCAGCAUUCACUUCGGUGAGAUGGCGACCGGCGCACGGGUGCGUAACGCGUAUGCAACCUACUUUAUACAAAGGGAUAGCUCAUGGAAACGUGGAUUAAUACCUUAUGGUACUAUAAAACUGCCUAGUUUAAUAGUUAAAACUUCGGUGGUAUAAGAUGGGCAUGCGUAUGAUUAGCUAGUUGGUGGGGUAACGGCCCACCAAGGCGACGAUCAUUAGGGGUUCUGAGAGGAUUAUCCCCCACACUGGUACUGAGACACGGACCAGACUCCUACGGGAGGCAGCAGUGAGGAAUAUUGGACAAUGGGCGCAAGCCUGAUCCAGCCAUGCCGCGUGAAGGAAGAAUGCCCUAUGGGUUGUAAACUUCUUUUAUUUGGGAAGAAACCUUUCUACGUGUAGAAAGCUGACGGUACCAAACGAAUAAGGACCGGCUAACUCCGUGCCAGCAGCCGCGGUAAUACGGAGGGUCCAAGCGUUAUCCGGAAUCAUUGGGUUUAAAGGGUUCGCAGGCGGUCAAUUAAGUCAGUGGUGAAAUCUCGGGGCUCAACUCCGAAACUGCCAUUGAUACUGAUUGACUUGAAUUAAGUUGGAGUAGGCGGAAUGUGUAGUGUAGCGGUGAAAUGCUUAGAUAUUACACAGAACACCGAUAGCGAAGGCAGCUUACUAAGCCAUUAUUGACGCUGAGGCACGAAAGCGUGGGUAGCGAACAGGAUUAGAUACCCUGGUAGUCCACGCCGUAAACGAUGUUCACUCGCUGUCUGCGAUACACAGUAGGCGGCUGAGCGAAAGCAUUAAGUGAACCACCU
rnacentral:rRNA from 1 species